rfam:Felis catus isolate Cinnamon breed Abyssinian chromosome D3, whole genome shotgun sequence.
GCCUGGGUGGCUCAGCCAGUUGAGCGUCUGACUUCAGCUCGGGUCAUGGUCUCACGGUCUGCGAGUUCAAGCCCCGCAUCAGGCU